ACACUUUUCAAGUACUUGCCAAGGUCACUGGGUGUUCAGUUCCAGAACUAUUUGCAGCAGGUGUUGCCUGCAAUUCUUGACGGUCUGGCUGACGAGAAUGAAUCUGUUCGGGAUGCGGCAUUAGGUGCUGGGCAUGUUCUGGUUGAACAUUAUGCAGCCACAUCUUUACCACUUCUCCUCCCUGCUGUGGAAGAUGGCAUUUUCAAUGACAGCUGGCG
rnacentral:misc_RNA from 1 species